rnacentral:lncRNA from 1 species
ACCGCGAUAACUCCGCCCCCGCCUCCUCGCUCCUCCCCCGCUGCCAUAGCCCGCCGCCUCCUCGCUCCUCCUCGCCGCCCGCCCCACGAAUCCCCGCGCCUCCUAGCUUCUCCUCCGCGCCCGCGAAUCCCCGCCGCCUCCUCGCUCCGCGCGCAUCCUCCCUCCUCGCGACGGGGCAGCGAGGUCGUCCCCUUCCGCUGCCACCCCCGCUGCCCACGCCGGAGACGAGGUCGUCCCCAGCCACCGCCGGAGCCGUGGUCUUCCCCGGAGCCGACGUCGUCCCCAGUUGCCGCCGGAGCCGAGUUCUUCCCCAUCCGCAUUGGAUCUGAAUGCACCACAUAUCUUCCCCUCUGGAAAUUAUUAUUUUUGGAUGAAAUUGACGGAAUACCAAUGGCUAUUGCAACAAGUCCCUUCAGCGACAUCUGGAAACCUAGGAUCUCACCUACAAAAAUAGGAAUCCAGGAGUUGGAGCCAUUCGAACAUGCAGCAUGUCUCUUGCUAAUGUCUUCCUGAGCUUUCAAAUCAUAAGGCCCUUGCCUCACUGAUCAAAAUAUUCAGGUCACUAGAGGUUCUAAUUUGCUUGCAAUCCUUAUGGUUUCCACUCAUCACAGUGAUAAGGCACCAUAUUCUUAUGGCCAGUGCUUCUAUGUUCUGAGCUUACUGGUAUCCAUAUUUUUAAGCACUCUAUUUCUUUGCUCUGGUUUCCUUUUUUGCAACCAGUUUCUGAUGGAACAUUUCUUAUGGCUAGAAAUUGUCACGUAAUCUUCAAUGCGCUCUAGAAAUUUCAGAUUGAGCUAUUUGAAUUUUGCUAUGUUAAUUUGAAUAAUACAGUAUUCCAAAGCGGCAGUGGAUCAUUAUAACCAACUACCACAAACUAUUCAAUUGCAGAAUUUCUGCAUUCCAAUUUUUGCAUUUCUCAAUUUAAUCAUGUAUUUUGGUUUGAGUAAUUGCAAAGUAAAAUUGAUUUUGUAAUUGUAAAAAUGAAUGAAUUUUCUGGACAACAUUUAAUGUGAUUUUAUCAAAACACAAUGAACCUUUUAAUUUGUCCGUAUAGUUCUGUUUUCUUUUAUUUUCAAAAGUAAGAUCCUCAGUAUAAGCUUUUGUUUGUGGAUCUCUUAAUAAUGAAUAUUGGGGGUCCAAUCCUCUCUUGCUCCACCGUUGGACCAGUAGUAGCAGCAGGUUGGAAGCUGGUGAACACGAUCUCAGGGAAGGACACAAUGGCGGCUUCGUACGAUCUCACAUAUGACAAUUCUAUCAUUGCCUUAGAUUUUACCAACCAAAGAUGCAAGGGGUACUCAUUCUUUUGAUUUUGUCCAGAUGGACAGCUCCAGUCCAUAACAUUCUAUCUACACAGUCAACGACUCAGUUAAUAAUAAAACUGAAAAAAUGUUCUCUUUUAUUUUUAAAUAAGAUUUUCACACAACCUGAAAGUAAGAUAUCAAAGGAGCACUG